GAUGAACGCUGGCGGCGUGCCUAAUACAUGCAAGUCGAGCGAACAGACGAGGAGCUUGCUCCUCUGACGUUAGCGGCGGACGGGUGAGUAACACGUGGAUAACCUACCUAUAAGACUGGGAUAACUUCGGGAAAACGGAGCUAAUACCGGAUAAUAUAUUGAACCGCAUGGUUCAAUAGUUAAAGACGGGUUUGCUGGCACUUAUAGAUGGAUCCGCGCCGCAUUAGCUAGUUGGUAAGGUAACGGCUUACCAAGGCAACGAUGCGUAGCCGACCUGAGAGGGUGAUCGGCCACACUGGAACUGAGACACGGUCCAGACUCCUACGGGAGGCAGCAGUAGGGAAUCUUCCGCAAUGGGCGAAAGCCUGACGGAGCAACGCCGCGUGAGUGAUGAAGGUCUUCGGAUCGUAAAACUCUGUUAUUAGGGAAGAACAAAUGUGUAAGUAACUAUGCACGUCUUGACGGUACCUAAUCAGAAAGCCACGGCUAACUACGUG
rnacentral:rRNA from 1 species